UCAAAUCAUCAAAACCAUUGAAUACACCACUCUUAGGCUCCCUUGGAAGUAUUUUGUCCAUCCUCUUAACUUCUCAUUGGCUCCCAUGGACUCCUAAUGCAUCCAAAAUGCUCCAUUUGACUCCAAUGUCCACCAAAAUGCCUGAAAAUACUCAUCUUUGUUUCCAAACAAAACUCCUAGCAAAAUAACACAAUUUAAUCAUAAUCUCAUGAAAUUUAGAAUGACCUAUAAGCAAAAUGACUUAGUGAAAGGGAG